GGAUUUUUUCUAAACGGCCGCAGAAUUUUAACUGUGCUAAGGUAGCAUAAUCAUUUGUCUUUUAAUUGAAGACUGGUAUGAAUGGUUUAACGAAAUUUUACUGUCUCUUUUGUACUAUCUAAAAUUUAAUCUUAAAGUUAAAAAGCUUUAAUUUAAUAAAAAGACAAAAAGACCCUAUAGAGUUUUAUUUUCAUAAAUUUAGUAAUUUAAUGAAAAUUUUGUUGGGGCAACUAGAAAAAACUAAAUUUUUUCUUAAUAUAAAUCAUAAUAAUUUAUCAUUUAUUUAAUAACACAAAAUAAAUUACCUUAGGGAUAACAGCGUAAUUUUCUUUGAGAGUCCAAAUCGAAAAGAAAAAUUAC
rnacentral:rRNA from 1 species